CCUACGGGUGGCAGCAGUGGGGAAUAUUGCACAAUGGGGGAAACCCUGAUGCAGCGACGCCGCGUGAGUGAAGAAGUAAUUCGUUAUGUAACGCUCUAUCAGCAGGGAAGAAAAUGACGGUACCUGAGUAAGAAGCCCCGGAUAACUACGUGCCAGCAGCCGCGGUAAUACGUAGGGGGCAAGCGUUAUCCGGAUUUACUGGGUGGAAAGGGAGCGUAGACGGCAGUGCAAGUCUGGGGUGAAAGGCGGGGGCUCAACCCCCGGACUGCUCUGGAAACUGUACGGCUGGAGUGCAGGAGAGGUAAGUGGAAUUCCUAGUGUAGCGGUGAAAUGCGUAGAUAUUAGGAGGAACACCAGUGGCGAAGGCGGCUUACUGGACUGUAACUGACGUUGAGGCUCGAAAGCGUGGGGAGCAAACAGGAUUAGAUACCCCUGUAGUC
rnacentral:rRNA from 1 species